rnacentral:rRNA from 1 species
UACGUAGGGUGCGAGCGUUAAUCGGAAUUACUGGGCGUAAAGCGUGCGCAGGCGGUUCGCCAAGUCAGGUGUGAAAUCCCCGGGCUUAACCUGGGAAUUGCGCUUGAAACUAGCGGGCUUGAGUGUGGCAGAGGGGGGUGGAAUUCCACGUGUAGCAGUGAAAUGCGUAGAGAUGUGGAGGAACACCGAUGGCGAAGGCAGCCCCCUGGGUUAACACUGACGCUCAGGCACGAAAGCGUGGGGAGCAAACAGG